AGAGUUUGAUCCUGGCUCAGGACGAACGCUGGCGGCGUGCCUAAUACAUGCAAGUCGUACGCAUUGAUAAUGGAACUUGUUCCAUUUGACGUGAGUGGCGCACGGGUGAGUAACACGUGGGAAACCUACCCUUCAGCGGGGGAUAACCGUCGGAAACGAUGGCUAAUACCGCAUAGGUCUUUGAGUCACCUGGCUUAAAGAGGAAAGACGGCUUCGGCUGUCACUGAAGGAUGGUCCCGCGGUGCAUUAGCUAGUUGGUAAGGUAAUGGCUUACCAAGGCAAUGAUGCAUAGCCGACCUGAGAGGGUGAUCGGCCACAUUGGGACUGAGACACGGCCCAAACUCCUACGGGAGGCAGCAGUAGGGAAUCUUCCGCAAUGGACGAAAGUCUGACGGAGCAACGCCGCGUGUGUGAAGAAGGUCCUCGGAUCGUAAAGCACUGUUAUUAGAGAAGAACACCCGGUAGAGUAACUGUUACCGGUCUGACGGUAUCUAACCAGAAAGCCACGGCUAACUACGUGCCAGCAGCCGCGGUAAU
rnacentral:rRNA from 1 species